rnacentral:rRNA from 1 species
CAUUAAGAGUAAGGGUGCUCAGCGCCCGACCUCCAACCCUUUGUUGUUAAAACUACCUUGUUGCUUUGGCGGGACCGCUCGGUCUCGAGCCGCUGGGGAUUCGUCCCAGGCGAGCGCCCGCCAGAGUUAAACCAAACUCUUGUUAUUAAACCGGUCGUCUGAGUUAAAAUUUUGAAUAAAUCAAAACUUUCAACAACGGAUCUCUUGGUUCUCGCAUCGAUGAAGAACGCAGCGAAAUGCGAUAAGUAAUGUGAAUUGCAGAAUUCAGUGAAUCAUCGAAUCUUUGAACGCACAUUGCGCCCCUUGGUAUUCCGAGGGGCAUGCCUGUUCGAGCGUCAUUACACCACUCAAGCUAUGCUUGGUAUUGGGUGCCGUCCUUAGUUGGGCGCGCCUUAAAGACCUCGGCGAGGCCUCACCGGCUUUAGGCGUAGUAGAAUUUAUUCGAACGUCUGUCAAAGGAGAGGACUUCUGCCGACUGAAACCUUUUAUUUUUCUAGGUUGACCUCGGAUCAGGUAGGGAUACCCGCUGAACUUAAGCAUAUCAAUAAGGCGGAGGA